GGGCGAUGAAGUAACUGUGUGAGCACAGUAUGUGCUCCCUGAAUAGACAAAGCACUUUCCUUUGCAGGGUUGCAAGAUGACCACCGUUCACCCGCACCAUGUUUGUCCGGAGUAAACAAAGGCUAAGGCCAUGAAGUAAAGCUGAAAGCAUGUUCAGGGUUGGAGAGAGAGGAGAAUAUAUGAUGAAACAGCGAUUGUGGUAUACCCAUUGUUUGGUCACUUGAGAACUGUAUGACCUUUGAGUUUAUUGAGAAAUAUGAAUAAACAUGUGAACAUGGAGGCACAAGCAAUUCUGCAGAACUAAUCUAGAUGUAACAAAGUUCCGUGCAUUAUGACGGAGAAAGAAGAGAGUUAACAGUAAUCCUGUGAGGACAUGGCAGACACCAUUACAAGCAAAAGACCCAGGACAAUGGGUAUGAAGAAGAACACAAAAUCAGCAACAUAGGGUUAAGCAAAGUCACCUUAAUUGCUUACAAGCAAUUGCAUGGGAGCAAGGAGUACCUACAGGACACUGUGAUGGGAAAAUCGGCAGGACACCAGUGUGUCCCUUGGGAGUGCCUGCACACAUGCACGCAGCAUUGGGAAUAACCAUGAGGAGCUAGAACUGCCUGCCAUCGCAGGCCAUGAUCCUUUUGGGAUCACAGAGACAU